GUCUUCUAUAUGUACCCUGUAGAUCCGAAUUUGUGUAAAGGAAGUUGCGUCACAAAUUCGUAUCUAGGGGAAUAUGUAGUUGACACAA
ensembl:miRNA